rnacentral:rRNA from 1 species
UACAGAGGGUGCAAGCGUUAAUCGGAAUUACUGGGCGUAAAGCGUGCGUAGACGGUUACAUAAGUCAGAUGUGAAAGCCCCGGGCUCAACCUGGGAAUUGCAUUUGAGACUGCGUAGCUAGGGUGCGGAAGAGGGAAGCGGAAUUCCCGGUGUGAGCGGUGAAAUGCGUAGAUAUCGGAAGGAACACCAGUGGCGAAAGCGGCUUCCUGGUCCAGCACCGACGUCAGGCACGAAAGCGUGGGGAGCAAACAGG